UCGCACCUACCGAUUGGAUGGUCCGGUGAGAAUUUCGGAUUGAAUUAUUUAUACUUUAAUUAGUAUUUAUAGUAUGAGAAGUUAUUCAAACCUUACCAUCUAGAGGAAGGUG
rnacentral:rRNA from 1 species